rnacentral:rRNA from 1 species
GACGAACGCUGGCGGCGUGCCUAAUACAUGCAAGUCGAGCGAAUCAUUAGGAGCUUGCUCCUGAUGGUUAGCGGCGGACGGGUGAGUAACACGUGGGCAACCUGCCUGUAAGACUGGGAUAACACCGGGAAACCGGUGCUAAUACCGGAUAAUUCUUUUCCUCACAUGAGGGAAAGCUGAAAGUCGGUUUCGGCUGACACUUACAGAUGGGCCCGCGGCGCAUUAGCUAGUUGGUGAGGUAACGGCUCACCAAGGCGACGAUGCGUAGCCGACCUGAGAGGGUGAUCGGCCACACUGGGACUGAGACACGGCCCAGACUCCUACGGGAGGCAGCAGUAGGGAAUCUUCCGCAAUGGACGAAAGUCUGACGGAGCAACGCCGCGUGAGUGAUGAAGGCCUUCGGGUCGUAAAACUCUGUUGUUAGGGAAGAACAAGUAUCGGAGUAACUGCCGGUACCUUGACGGUACCUAACCAGAAAGCCACGGCUAACUACGUGCCAGCAGCCGCAGUAA